GGUCUUCCUCGGAGGCCUCUGAAAGCAUUUGUUUGAUCUCGCUCUCCUAGCAGAAAGCAGGCCACCGGCUUUUGGCUCCAAUAAGCGCGCAAAAGCCCAAAAGCGCCCGGUCGCCCUUUGACAGCUCGUCGUUUGUGGCAAGCGGGCCACGUGUUUAUGUUUAGCUCCACGCAAGCAAAUGAUGGGCUCCCAUGUGCAGAUGAAAGCUAUUUAUGACUCCCACUAUCAGAUUUGCCCCACUCGGAUUUCAUCCCUGAACGGCGCACGGGGGCCGGCCGGCACCGAGCCAGCUUCUACACUCUGGCCCGCAACAUCAUCAAUCUUUCCAUAGACGCCCUCAACAAAAGCUGUUUGGCAUCAACAUACUUUUACUUUCCACUGCUCCCUACCAAGUACGUCAGCACGGCAUUCAGCGCGUUCCUUGGCGACGCUCACGGUACAUCCUGUCCGCUCGUUUGCUGACACCGGGAUGACAUCAUCGCCGGGGCAACCCCCCCCCCCCCGAAAUGUUGCAGACAAAGGCCCCCGAGCAACGUCGGCUAUCCGCACAUCGGCGUGGACGCAGCACUUUUGCAAAUCCCUAACCAGAUUAGCGCCGCGCCGCAAUAGGCUGUCACGCCCGCACACGGCUGGGGAGGCCCGAGGACGUGGUGGGGCGGGGCCCCCUGCGACAUCUAAAUGGGGAGACUUCGUCCUCUUGACUUGUGAAGAAACAGGCCUUCGCUCGCCCUUUAUCUCGGUCCACAGAAGAGCGACUGUUGUUGCUGUUGGUGUGGUCCACGUCAACCAACUGUUUUGUUGUUUGCCGCUUCCAGGACAUCACAAACUUUUAUAUCCCGCCUCCAUCAUCAGGUGCGGUCGUCACGUUUUCAACCCAUUGUGCCCCGACCCUCGCGGCCCGUCGGUGUGUCACUGUUUUGAUGUAGAGCGGGCGUCGUACGGGGCGUUGUCGUAAUGCCGAGGCGGACGCCAACAGCUCCAGCCAGGCCUGAAAAGUGCGUGAAUAGUGGAAAAAGUUUUCAGUCAAAAUGAUUCCUUGACAAGGCAGCCAUUAGGGGGCGACACUGAACAAGAACUGCACAAGCAGGUUUGAGAAGUCAGAGGAGGCCUGAGGAGUCAAAUAAGACCAGCAACAAUUUUUUUUAAAUCCAAUUCAUUAAUUGAUCAUUGAAUGAAUUGAAUACAAUUAAAAUACAACAAAUUG